CGCUCCGGAGAAAUCCACUGAACUGGAUGCCGAAGGUGAAAGCGCAAGCGAAUCUCUCAGGCAAAAGGACGGAGAAGG
rnacentral:ncRNA from 1 species